GACGAACGCUGGCGGCGUGCUUAACACAUGCAAGUCGAACGGAAAGGCCUCUUUCGGGGGGUACUCGAGUGGCGAACGGGUGAGUAACACGUGAGUAACCUGCCCUUGACUUUGGGAUAACUUCAGGAAACUGGGGCUAAUACCGGAUAGGAGCUCCUGCUGCAUGGUGGGGGUUGGAAAGUUUCGGCGGUUGGGGAUGGACUCGCGGCUUAUCGGCUUGUUGGUGGGGUAGUGGCUUACCAAGGCUUUGACGGGUAGCCGGCCUGUGAGGGUGACCGGCCACAUUGGGACUGAGGUACGGCCCAGACUCCUACGGGUGGCAGCAGUGGGGAAUAUUGCACAAUGGGUGGAAGCCUGAUGCAGCAACGCCGUGUGCGGGAUGACGGCCUUCGGGUUGUAAACCGCUUUCGCUCAUGACGAAGCUUUGUGUGACGGUAGUGGGUAAAGAAGCACCGGCUAACUACGUG
rnacentral:rRNA from 1 species